ACUCAGGUAGACCUCACUCACUCCCUAGAGCUAGGAGAAUAGUUUUUUUUGGUCAUGCUUGCGUCUAUACUGGGCCUUUGCCCUUUUGGUAUUAGAUACCCCUCAUGCAGUCCCAGCCUAAUCAGAUCAACUCUGCCUGUUACAGGACCCCCAAGAGACUGCUUCUUACCAGCAAAGAGCUUCUGAAUGAAGGUCCUGUAGGAAAGGGGAAUGAAGAGAAGGCAACAGCCAUGUAGAGGGUUACUCAUAAUCACUACUCCCUGAUGCAGUAUUCUUGGGAAUAGGGGUGAGGAAAUCCAGCUGGUAUGGAUGGGGAAAAGCAACCAAGAACCAUCCUAGCACACUGGACCCUGACUUGACUGGAAUGAGCUGUAUCCUAACCCAAGAUGUGGAAACUGAGGCAGGGUGAUGUUAAGUGACUUGCCAAUGGCUACAGAAUGAGCUGGCGGCUGAACUGAUGACUUGUGUGAUCAAUUCACUCAUAAUAUUUACAGAGCAUAUUUUAUCCAAGGAUCUGUAAGUGCUCUACAAAGGAGGCGAAGUCUCAUCAUGCAGAUGGGGAAACUGAGGCACAGCAUGUUUAUGUGACGUGAGGCCACACUGAGUCAGAGGGAAAGCGGGGAUUAGAUUUCGCUAAACUGACUGUGGCUAGUGCCUUAUCCACUGGACUAUGACAAAUCCUGCUAGACUACACUGUGCCCCUGCGAUGCUGGGCCCACCACAGCACAGUGCUAAUGCCUGAGAGCCUGGCCAUGAGACGUGUCACUGCUCCCGUGGAGCAAAGCAUCGAACAAGCAACAUGAAGGCAAAAAUUGAACAUGACUUUUACCAUGAGCAGGCCCAGUCUCGAGGUGGGUUAUUAAAUGUGAGUCAGGGUGUAGCUAAAAGACAGACGAGUUUUAUGUUGCCACUGCCCCUUUAACAACUCCAAAGCCAGUGCUCAGUCUGAUUCUCACCCCACCUUCCAGAGGGUAAUUGAGGUCAUGGUGAAGAAUUUGGAAAGGGACGCUGGGAGUGAAAUUAGAAACAUUUCUAUAAAAUUCCUCACACAGAAGGAAAUGGGCAGCAGACGUUUUUCUCCCUCGGCAGGUUAAUGCAGAGCUGCGAUUUGCCCUGAUAUAGGCUACAAAGGACCCUUCGACACAGGUAUAUCUGCAGCGCCACCGGCAGGCCGGGCUUAGCCAGCCAGGUGCCCUCUUCCAUGAAACCAGACACACCAGAGAUCCUGCCCAGGCCCCUUCUGCUGACGACUCCUGUCACUCUGACAGUGGCAGAGGAGACUUCCCGGGAAAGAAGGCAGCUGGCGAGUGUGACGUUAUAAGCAUAUUUUCAUAAAGAAUAUGGAGUGUAAUAUGGAUCUGACACAGCUAAGAUAUGUUUUAUGCAAGAUGGCUCAUGUAAGGUAUCAUUGGAAGGGUUGCCAUUUACUGAAGAUGAUUAUCCAAUUUCUAUGCAUAUAUCAUUUCUGUAUCUAAAGUUAAGAACAUGGACUAUGUAACAAUUACAACUGGGUGUGUCUUGGGAAGACACCCUCCAGCCAACAGGCCAUCAGGAAGAAACAACAAGACUGAAGACACUAAUCUCUCUCCUUCCUGGAAGGGCAUAGCUGUGACAAUACUAGAUCAGGUGGUCUUGUCAGCUGAUACUAAACAUUACCUUGGACUUCUUAUAACUUUCCACUAAAAGCUGGGGGUGUGUGUGUGUCAAGUUUGGGAAACAAAGAUUCCCACCUUACAUAAAUCUUAUUUAAGGGUGGGGAGGAAUGCAAAUGGGACUCUCCUCCAUUACCUACCCAAGAAGAGGGACUGCUGAAAGUACCUAAAGGGACAAAGGAACUAACCUGAAGGGAAAGGCGGGGGGUAAGUCCAGACUGAGACAAAGGUCCAAUCUAGAAGAAGAAAU